GUCCUCUGCAAUGUAUGGUAUGUAGAAUUUCCUACACACUUCCUUCUCUUCCUGCCUAGGUACCAUCUAAAGAUACACAAAAUUUUGAGCCAAACCUUAGGAAAACAGUGAGCCUUUUUUCUCUUCUAGUACCAUCCCUUUAACUCAGUCCUUCAGUUGACCUACCUCUUUUACCAAUGUUAUUUUCCAGUUUUAAAGUGUGACUAAUAUUACUUUCAACGUCUUAAUUUUCUGGCAAUAUCCUUUGAUCAUUACUUGCCACAUCUAACCCACAGCUUUUUAGAAGCCUCAUCUUGACCUUUCUAUGCCCUUCUCCAAUGCCCUGGCUUUUCUUCCUCAUCCAGUUGUGUCUCCUGAGAUGCCAUGGAGGAUUGCAGAACUCUCCACAGGGGAAAAGCACAUAUGGACACACACAGGAACCAGGUAGAGCUGUCCAACAUCGCUUCAAGCAGUGAAGCUGGGGCUUUCCUACACCCAAGAUUAGAUUGAAGAAUGUUUCCAAAAUACCAGAGACAUUGGUUUCUAGUGAUCCAGGUGAUAAAACAUCAAAUAACAGAACCAUGAAUGUAUUCAGCAAUACUUCAAAUCUCAAGAGAAAAGUAAUCACUUCUACUUUAGUCCACUGUUUAGUGUAGAGAUUUUUGAAGAAAAUUCAAAGCAAAAUCAAUUAAUUUUUUUUGAUCCCCUGUGCCCCCCCCAAAAUCAAUUACUUUUUUUAGAAGAACAUUUUAUAACUUUAAAGAACUGGAAUCAUUUGGCUCAGUAAGAAACAGCAGAAGGCAGUCUUAAUAAUGGUCGUCAGAUCUGCAAGUUUUUGUGAAGGAACAGUAACAAACAACUUUGAAUCCCUCUGGGCACAGAGAAGAAAAUUCACCAUGUGAUUGCUUGGCAUUAGCAAAUGUACUUGUCACUUUUCCUUAUGGCGUUUUGCGUGAAACACUCUGAUUUCUUUGCAUCUAAUUCUCACAGUCUGUAUAUUAUCUCCCAUUUAUUGGCCUUCUGAAUGUAAGAAUAUUAUGAAAGAGCAGUUUUUAAACUGCUUCCUCUCACACUAUUAUGAAAUCUAAGAUAAUUAUAAGGGAUGUGGGAGUGUGGGCUAUACCUGGAGUUCUAGGCUGAAAGCCUGCAUUUUUAUAGCCAGCAGGGCCAUUGUUUUUUUUGUUUGUUUGGUACCGGGAAUUGAACUGGGGUCCUUGUGCUUCUUCAUCAGGCGGCAAAACCACUGAGCUAAAUUCCCGGCCCAAGGGCCAUUGUUUAAGGCCAUUUCCUGCAGUAAAAGGAGAGCGGGGAAGGGACCUCCCACAGGGGCCCCCUCCUGCCCAGUAGGAGGACUGAACCCCAAGUUGGGGCUGGUGAACGUCUUUUGACUCGGCAUCAUGAAUAAGAAGGACGGUCCACCGCCUUUCAUAUUGGAAGGGAGGAAGAGGAAUGCUUUUCUUUGCUCUCUUUGAGGCCACCACAGUCCUCAUUGAUUGGAGAAAAGCAGGCUGUCAAAAGUGAUUGCAGGGGGCCAGCAGGGGGCCGGGGAUUUAGCUCACUGGUUUCACCACCCGCUGCGCAAGCGCGAGACCCCGAGUGCGAUCCCUGGUACCAAAAAAAAAAAAAAAAAAGUGAUUGCACGAUGGAGCUAUAAUAAUAAAGCCUGUAAAAUUUGUUGACCUUUGCCAAAAAUGAUAUGCC
rnacentral:lncRNA from 1 species